rnacentral:siRNA from 1 species
GAGGUGUACUAACUCUGGUGUAUG